rnacentral:rRNA from 1 species
UGGGGAAUAUUGCACAAUGGGGGAAACCCUGAUGCAGCCAUGCCGCGUGUGUGAAGAAGGCCUUCGGGUUGUAAAGCACUUUCAGCGAGGAGGAAAGGUUGGCGCCUAAUACGUGUCAACUGUGACGUUACUCGCAGAAAAAAGCACCGGCUAACUCCGUGGC